GCAGAGAUGCCGGAGUGGACAAACGGGCUGGGCUUAGGACUCAGUGGCUUAGUGCCUACGGGGGUUCGAAUCCUCCUCUCUGCA
rnacentral:tRNA from 1 species